rfam:Citrus clementina cultivar Clemenules unplaced genomic scaffold scaffold_7, whole genome shotgun sequence.
ACAGGGAGCAAAGUAAGUUUUUGUUAGAUGGUUUUGUCCUUUAUUAAGUUGCACUAAGUGAGGGAGCAACACGUAAAAACCGGCACUUAAGAGGGGAACAACAGCUGAAAACGGCUGUUAAUACCCGGUAGGCUAAAGGAGCAAGAGGAGGAAUAUGCCCGAGGAGGGGCUCGCGUCUGAUUAACUAGUUGGCGAGGCAAUAGUUUACUGAGACGAUGAUCAAUAGCUGAUUCGAGAGGAUGAUCAACCGCAUUAGGACUGAGAUGCAGCCCAAACUCCUAGGGGCAGCAGUGGGGAAUUUUCCGCAAUGGGCGUAAAUUUGAAGGAGCAAUGCCGUGUGGAGGUAGAAGGUUCAUGGGUGGUGAACUUCUUUUCUAGAGAAGAGGCAAUGACGGUAUCUAUGGAAUAAGCAUCGACUAACUCUGUGCUGGCAACCACAAUAAUAUAGAGGAUGCA